rnacentral:rRNA from 1 species
GAUGAACGCUGGCGGCGUGCCUAAUACAUGCAAGUAGAACGCUGAAGGAGGAGCUUGCUCUUCUGGAUGAGUUGCGAACGGGUGAGUAACGCGUAGGUAACCUGCCUGGUAGCGGGGGAUAACUAUUGGAAACGAUAGCUAAUACCGCAUGACAACAGUUAUUGCAUGAUAACUGUUUAAAAGGGGCAACUGCUCCACUACCAGAUGGACCUGCGUUGUAUUAGCUAGUUGGUGAGGUAACGGCUCACCAAGGCGACGAUACAUAGCCGACCUGAGAGGGUGAUCAGCCACACUGGGACUGGGACACGGCCCAGACUCCUACGGGAGGCAGCAGUAGGGAAUCUGCGGCAAUGGACGGAAGUCUGAACGAGCAACGCCGCGUGAGUGAAGAAGGUUUUCGGAUCGUAAAGCUCUGUUGUAAGAGAAGAACGAGUGUGAGAGUGGAAAGUUCACACUGUGACGGUAUCUUACCAGAAAGGGACGGCUAACUACGUG